GACAGAGGUGCCGAGCGUUAGGCGGAAUCACUGGGCUUAAAGCGUGUGUAGGCGGGCCGUUAAGUAUCUUGUGAAAUCCCCCGGCUCAACCGGGGAAUUGCUGGGCAUACUGGCGGUCUUGAGCAAUCUAGGGGCAGAUGGAACAAGUGGUGGAGCGGUGAAAUGCGUAGAUAUCACUUGGAACGCCAAAGGUGAAGACAGUCUGCUGGGGAUUUGCUGACGCUGAGACACGAAAGCCAGGGGAGCGAACGGG
rnacentral:rRNA from 1 species